GUGAAUCAUCAAAUUUUUGAACGCAAAUUGCACUCUCCUCGAAGAGUAUGCCUGUUUGAGGUUCAGCCUAUAAAAAAUCGACAUGGUUGCUGUUAUAUGGUGACUUUCGGCGGGGAUGGGUUAUCUUAUAGCUCGGUUCAAGCGACUUAAAAUUUUCUUUUGUUUCCAUGAACGUUUCUAAGAUCUAUUUCUUUACACGUUGAAGGUAUCGAUUUUUACUAGACGUGACCAUCAUAUCGGAUCGCGUCCAUAAUCUUUCAUUAACUGACCUUAGACAGGUAAGAGUACCC
rnacentral:misc_RNA from 1 species